rnacentral:rRNA from 1 species
UACGGAGGGAGCUAGCGUUGUUCGGAAUUACUGGGCGUAAAGCGCACGUAGGCGGCCAUUCAAGUCAGAGGUGAAAGCCCAGGGCUCAACCCUGGAACUGCCUUUGAAACUAGAUGGCUAGAGUCCUGGAGAGGCGAGUGGAAUUCCGAGUGUAGAGGUGAAAUUCGUAGAUAUUCGGAAGAACACCAGUGGCGAAGGCGACUCGCUGGACAGGUAUUGACGCUGAGGUGCGAAAGCGUGGGGAGCAAACAGG